UAGGGUGCUCUAAUCAUCAUCMUAAYGACGGUACCYUCAAAGGAAGCACCGGCUAACUCCGUGCCAGCAGCCGCGGUAAUACGGAGGGUGCAAGCGUUAUAUCGGAAUUCACUGGGCGUAAAGCGCACGUAGGCUGUUUUGUAAGUCAGGGGUGAAAUGCGCCCCUGGCYCAACCGUGGACCUGCCCUUGAUACUGCAAGACUUGUAUAGUCACUGCGCGAUGAGAGUGAUGCGACUGGCAGAGUUACUCUAUGCGCUCGUAUGCGCAUGUGAAGAUACGCUGUAUGCACUCACUCUAUGGAGGAACAUCRGUGGCGAAGAGUCUGGCUCAGCCUCGGUAUCACAGAGCUACUCGAUCCGACGUCGAUGCGCUGGAGAAAAGCGUGGGGAGCUUACAGUAUCAGAUGUCUAAUGCUAGUCCCCACCGUUCACUAUGAGCCAGAAUCAMCCUACU
rnacentral:rRNA from 1 species